CUUUGGUUCUGGAACCUUGGCAGAAAUCCCAUCCUGAUGUUGUUCUCCUCCAAUAUGUCGAUGAUCUCCUUCUCUGUGCUACAGACCUUCACACUGCAGAACGAGACUCUGAGGAUCUCCUAUGUUUCCUCGCUGAAGCGGGUUGCAAAGUCUCCAAAUCCAAACUACAGUGGUGCCGGCCCUCUGUGGUCUUCUUGGGACAUUGUCUUUCCCAUGGCACCAGGCAUUUAACUUCCCAACGUGUACAAGCUAUCCUACAACUCCCAUUGCCUGCAGCACACCAGACUCUUCAUACCUUUUUGGGACUCAUCACGUACUGCAGGUCCUGGAUACCUGAAGCCUCGUAGCUCAUGCAGCCACUCUAUGAUGCCCUCAGGAGUGAACCUUUCCAUCUCUCUGAAGAUGCUAUUGCCUUUUUCCACAGUCUGAAGAGAGCUAUCGCGUCAGCACCUGCCUUGGGCCUUCCAAACUACCAGUUGCCUUUCAAUUUGUUUGUCUCUGAAAAGUCUGGACAUGCUUCCGGAGUCCUUACCCAAAAACAUGGUUCAAG